rnacentral:lncRNA from 1 species
GCACACUUUAUAACAAUUUGAGUUUGAUUUUGAAUUUAUUUAACCACAUGGCAGGUACAUAAAAGUACACAUAGACGUGGUUGGGUGUGAUGGGAAAAAAGCUGCAAUUCACGGCUUGACUGGCCCCAU